rnacentral:rRNA from 1 species
GACGAACGCUGGCGGCGUGCCUAAUACAUGCAAGUCGAACGCUUUUUCUUUCACCGGAGCUUGCUCCACCGAAAGAAAAAGAGUGGCGAACGGGUGAGUAACACGUGGGUAACCUGCCCAUCAGAAGGGGAUAACACUUGGAAACAGGUGCUAAUACCGUAUAACACUAUUUUCCGCAUGGAAGAAAGUUGAAAGGCGCUUUUGCGUCACUGAUGGAUGGACCCGCGGUGAAUUAGCUAGUUGGUGAGGUAACGGCUCACCAAGGCAACGAUGCAUAGCCGACCUGAGAGGGUGAUCGGCCACACUGGGACUGAGACACGGCCCAGACUCCUACGGGAGGUAGCAGUAGGGAAUCUUCGGCAAUGGACGAAAGUCUGACCGAGCAACGCCGCGUGAGUGAAGAAGGUUUUCGGAUCGUAAAACUCUGUUGUUAGAGAAGAACAAGGAUGAGAGUAAAACGUUCAUCCCUUGACGGUAUCUAACCAGAAAGCCACGGCUAACUACGUGCCAGCCGCCGCGGUAA